rnacentral:misc_RNA from 1 species
UUUCCGUAGGUGAACCUGCGGAAGGAUCAUUACUGAGUUUUGGAUGAAGUUGUUCUGGUCUUUCGGGGCAAGUGAACGCUUCUCUCAAUCCAUCUUACACCUGUGCACCUAUCGGGGAAGACUUGGAUCUAAGUUGGGUCACGACGGCGAUCUACAGUCUCCUCUUUAUACCAAAUAACAGUUUUAGAAAGUCUUUUUUGCUUGAUGCAAACUUAAAUAAAUACAACUUUCAGCAACGGAUCUCUUGGCUCUC